rnacentral:rRNA from 1 species
UACGUAGGGUGCGAGCGUUGUCCGGAAUUAUUGGGCGUAAAGAGCUCGUAGGCGGUGUGUCACGUCGUUCGUGAAAACCUGCAGCUUAACUGUGGGCGUGCGGUCGAUACGGGCAUCACUGGAGUUCGGCAGGGGAGACUGGAAUUCCUGGUGUAGCGGUGAAAUGCGCAGAUAUCAGGAGGAACACCGGUGGCGAAGGCGGGUCUCUGGGCCGAUACUGACGCUGAGGAGCGAAGGCCAGGGGAGCAAACGGG